CACGUAGGCACCAAGCGUUGUCCGGAUUUAUUGGGCGUAAAGAGCUCGUAGGCGGUUCAGCAAGUCGGGUGUGAAAACUAUGGGCUUAACCCAUAGCCUGCAUCCGAAACUGCUGUGACUAGAGUUCGGUAGGGGAGAGGGGAAUUCCUAGUGUAGCGGUGAAAUGCGCAGAUAUUAGGAGGAACACCGAUGCCGAAGGCACCUCUCUGGGCCGAUACUGACGCUGAGGAGCGAAAGCGUGGGUAGCAAACAGG
rnacentral:rRNA from 1 species